CAUGAGAUUGAUGGGCAAGGCUAUCUAUCCUCUAUGCUGUUGAUAUGUUAUGGAAACAUUCAUAUGAUUAAUGCAUCCAUGUGCUUGAAUAGUAUUUUGAAUGAGAUAUUCCUCAUGUAAUUAUCUACUCGCUGGGUUUAUAUACUCACUUUCCUUCUUCUGUUUAUCCCUUUGAGGGACAAAAGGGAAGUAAUCAACAAAUUUUAGAAAAGUAAG
rnacentral:misc_RNA from 1 species